AAUAAUUUUUUUUUUUUUAAUAGGGACUGGGCAUGGUGGCUCACGCUUCUAAUCUCAGCACUUUGGGAGGCUGAGGUGGGUGGAUUACCUGUGGUCAGGUGUUUUAGAUCAGCCUGGCCAACAUGGUGAAACAUUGUCUCUACUAAACAUACAAAAAUUAGCCAGGUGUGGUGGCACAUGCCUGUAGUUCCAGCUACUCAGGAGGCUGAGGCAGGAGAAUUGCUUGAAUCUGGGAGGCAGAGGUUACAGUGAGAGGAGAUUGCGCCAAUGCACUGCAGCCUGGGUGACAAAGCGAGACUCCAUCUCAAAAUAAAAUAAAAUAAAAAUAGGCUCCACAAUUAAAAAUAACAUUAGCUCUUUUAUAAUUGAAAAUAUUUUUUUACUGUGGACAAAGGUAUUAAUCUGUAACCCAAGGAAGCAGCAAGACCAUAAAAGUUGAACAAACUCGGUUAGCCACAGCCAAGUGAAGAGGAGGACGGAGGAGAUAAUCCAUGGAAAGGGGCAAGAAAGUGGCUUCCAGAGUGCUAUAAUGUCAUAACUCUUCAGGCAGAAAUGGCGUUUUGCUAUGUUGCUCAGCCUGGUUUCGAACUCCUGGCUUCAUGUAAUCCUCCUGACUUGGCCUCCCAGUUGGGAAUAAUUAC
rnacentral:lncRNA from 1 species